GCUAAUGUUAACAUUCUUUGGCUUGUGCAAUAUAUUGACUUUAAUAAUAUCAUGUACACUAUUUAAACAAAUUCUAUAUUUAGCUAUGGAAUACUAUCUGUUCGUUAUCAUUGUUAAUUUGCACCUUCUCUACUUGGAGAAAUAAAUCUGUAUUGUAGCAGAACUGUUAUUUUUUUUUAUAUUUAUAUUAAUUUGUUGAUUAAAUAACGAUUUCAAAAUUAUUUGUUAUCUUUAAUCCAAAAAAUUCUGAAACAGCGGUGACUCUAAUCAAGUAAGAAAUAAUUAAAAACCAUAUUACAUAAUAUACAGGCAACUCGGAAUUUGAUUUAGUUGAUUUACAGUCUGGUCCAAAAAGAUUCAUAUUAGUGGUAAAUCAUGUAUAAAACUAACAGCAUAGUAAUUAUAUUGUAUAUUAAAUAUAUAUUUUAAUUGCUAUUAAGCCUAUUAUUAAUAGCUAAUGAAUUAUAUUUAGCUAAUUCCAAUAACAAAACCAUGGCUUCAAUCCUUCAUUUUAUUAUGUGGAUCUAGAGGUCUUAAAAAUGGAAAACUAGCAAAGCAUGAUGCUCAUUCUAGUACAAAAACUCAUAAAUAACUGUUAAAAAACUGACACUGUUCAUACCCAGAUAAUAAUUCAAUCUAAACUAGAAGUUGAAGCUUAUAGGGAAUAUAUGAAAAGUCUAAUUAACAUAACAAUUUAUUGAGUAUCAAAAGAAUGGCCCAACACAAUAAAAAUAAUUCAUCAUUAAAUCAAUUUAUGUGGAUCUAGAGGUCUUAAAAAUGGAAAACUAACAAAGCUUGAUGCUCAUUUUAGUACAUAAACUCAUUUAACUCAUAUUGCUAAAUGGACAGGACAUUAUAAAGUAACUGUAAAAAUAACUGACACUGUUCAUACCCAACUAGUAACUCAAUCUAAACUAGAAGUUAUCACUAAUAGGGAAUAUAACAAAAGUUUAAUUGAUAUAACAAUAUAUUGAGUAUCCAAAGAAUGGUCUGACACAACUAAAAUAAUUCAUCAUUAAAUCAAGAUAGGGAACUAAUUUAAGUAAUCAAAUCACCUAAUAAUAAGUAAUUAAAACUGAGAAGAUAUAAUUAUUAAUCUCUUAAUAAAUAAUUUUUCUUGGGAAAUUUCAACAAAACUUGUGUUUUAUUUCCAAGCAUAAACCUAAGUUUUCUGAAAUAUUCAACAAAGAAACAAAUCACACUAGUCAGCAUAUUCAAAAUGAAAUAAUUAAAAUAUGUACAAAAGGCUCAAGAGAUUCAUUUAUAGAAGAAAUUAGUACACAGAUUUUUAGUAUAAUGUUUAAUGAAGCAAGAUGUUAUAUAGAAGAACAAAUGUUUUAUAUUAUUUUAAAACUUGUAAAUUAAACACUAAAGCUCAAAUAAUUUUACAAAUCUAUGAUUUUUCUAACAUCAU